AGAUUUAACAUAAAUAAUGUGUCUCACUUACAUUGAGAAAAUGAUUUAUAUUAGUCAGUCUUGAAGAG
rnacentral:tRNA from 1 species